CGACAGGUACAUGGAGAUGGCUCGUAUCAUCGACGUCGACGAGGAAGGUCCACGGAUCUGUACACGGGACAAAGAGGCCAAUAACCUGUACGACAUGUUUCACACUCGGAUGAUGUUACACCGACGGGCCUACCAGCAUAAAGUUACCAUUGGAGUGGAGCUCAUGAUUGUCGAUGCACUCCAAAACGUUGACGAGAUCGUACGGAUAUCGGGAAGGGAUCG